AAAAACUGUUGUGGGGCUGCGCCACAACACUGACAUUGCACCAAGGCGGUGAAACGGCUAAACAAGGCCCGACCGAGUCUGCGAAUGGUUCAAAGCAGGCAGCUUAAUCAUUACGCGCGGGUGUGGGCGAUGCUGACACGGAUAGAACGGCGCUCUGGCGAUCACGUGUGCAGUCAAACGGGAGAACCUCUCUACAGCCUGACGCACGAAGCCAUGUACUGGACUGCUGUCUGGAGAUGACCUGUCCAUUCCAGGAGGCGUGAAACCUGCGCAUGGUUGGAAAAGGUGAGUGAAGAAUUAAGUCAGACGUCCCAAAGUUUAAACAGUUAAGGGUACCGGUAACAAAAGUGAUGCCACAAUAUUAUACGUUAUAUGAUUGUCAUGAUCCUGCCGCUUCAGCAUGAGCUGUGCGGGUGUCCGCGCAGGUGCGCUGAUUGGAAGGUGCACACCUGCGCCUCAUGCAGCCUGUUUAUGCUAUGGAUUUAUAUGACCGCGAUGACAACUGGCCGGGGCCAGUUCGUAUGAUCUUCAUGUCCCAUUCGUGUGCUCCGGCAUCCCUGAUUGAACCUGUGUGUACCGACCUUCGUCCGUUCUCCGACCAACCCCGUAAGCCUGACUCCUUCGAUACUUCUGCCUGCGUUGAUUGUUCUCCCGUGUACCGACUCCUGCCUGUCCGCUCAUCUGCUCUCUUCGCCCGACGUCCGAACUACCGCUGCUGCACCGGACUGCCUGCU